CUACGGGAGGCAGCAGUGGGGAAUUUUGGACAAUGGGCGCAAGCCUGGUCCAGCCAUGCCGCGUGAGUGACGAAGGCCUUAGGGUUGUAAAGCUCUUUUGCCGGGGACGAUAAUGACGGUACCCGGAGAAUAAGUCCCGGCUAACUUCGUGCCAGCAGCCGCGGUAAUACGAAGGGGACUAGCGUUGUUCGGAAUCACUGGGCGUAAAGCGCACGUAGGCGGAUUUGUCAGUCAGGGGUGAAAUCCCGGGGCUCAACCUCGGAACUGCCUCCGAUACAGCAAAUCUCGAGUCCGGAAGAGGUGGGUGGAAUUCCUAGUGUAGAGGUGAAAUUCGUAGAUAUUAGGAAGAACACCAGUGGCGAAGGCGGCCCACUGGUCCGGUACUGACGCUGAGGUGCGAAAGCGUGGGGAGCAAACAGGAUUAGAAACCCGGGUAGUCC
rnacentral:rRNA from 1 species